AUUGAACGCUGGCGGCAGGCCUAACACAUGCAAGUCGAACGAGUGGCGGACGGGUGAGUAAUGUCUGGGAAACUGCCUGAUGGAGGGGGAUAACUACUGGAAACGGUAGCUAAUACCGCAUACCAUCGGAUGUGCCCAGAUGGGAUUAGAUAGUAGGUGGGGGAAAGGCUCCCCUAGGCGACGAUCCCUAGCUGGUCUGAGAGGAUGACCAGCAACCCAGGAACUGAGACACGGUCCAGAUCCCUUCGGGAGGCAGCAGUUGGGAAUAUUGCACAAUGGGCGCAAGCCUGAUGCAGCCAUGCCGCGGGUAUGAAGAAGGCCUGCGGGUUGUAAAGUACUUUUAGCGGGGAGGCGUUACUCGCAGAAGAAGCACCGGCUAACUCCGUGCCAGCAGCCGCGGUAAUUC
rnacentral:rRNA from 1 species